rnacentral:lncRNA from 1 species
UAGCCCCAAGAACUCAAAAUGGCUUCAGGAGAAUCUUACAGGUAGUAAUGUUGUGCUGUUAACUGAAUUGGUUCAUAUUUCCGUUUCGGAUAUGGUGUUAUGAGCUAUUGAGCUGACCUUGAUGGUGCUUCAGGAUUAUCUCAGCUGGAGUGAUCUAGACACUGCAUAAUAUGAUCACAUAAGCCCCAGUAGAUGGUAUCAGUUGGGGCAAACGGAUAUUUUUGUCGGGCUGGAAAGCAAUUGCUUGACUAUGCUAGCCUUAUCUUGACUAACUUGACUCUUUUCUUGUCAAACAGAUAUGGAUUCCAACGUAGCCAAGAUGAUCAAGCUCAUUGAAGAAGAUGCCGAUUCAU